rnacentral:lncRNA from 1 species
AAAAGAGCCAUAAUUUUUUUGAGAAAAUGAAAUAUCUUUACUACAAACAAUACCUUCCUUUAAACGCAACAAUAAUUGCAGUACAGCAAUCUUCACUGCACACAAUUCCCUACUUGAUGGCUAUCAAAAGCAAAGCAUGAUGGUAAAUUAAUCUCCAUUUUUUUUUUCCUCCUGAAUUUGUGAGAGAUUUUGAGAGGCAAAUUUGAAGCAAUUAGGAAGCAUCAACUGAUUUGAGUUUUGCCAAAGAGCUUCAUCAGCAAUUUGUCAUUUAUAUUCUAUUAACACCUCUAAUUUUGUGUCAAUAUAUAUAUAUAUAUAUAUAUAUAAUGAGAGGGGGAAUGUUGAAUAGAUCCAAGUUUUUACUAAAUUAACUGACCCAUGAUGAAGAAUAUGAUAAUCAUGAUGAAUGUGGUUGGUUUUCAUUGGUUUUGGAUGUAGUAGUGGAGAAAUGAAUCUACAUGUCAUUAUUUUUUCUUUUUUUCUUUUCAUGAUUAAUAGGAUGGGUGGAUCAAUUUAGUAAAAGCUUGGGUCUAUUUAACAUUCCUCUUUCAUUGUUGUGAAAGAUUUAAGUAUUUUAGGACUUUCAAAAAACGAAAAAGGAGCUCAUGCUAGGUAGUAGCUCAAACAUCAAACAUCAAAUGAUGUGAAGUGCAAUUUCUAGAUUCUGAUGAACCCCUCCACACUUGUCACCAUCUUCUUUGGUUCAUGGUUGUGUAAAGUUGAAUGAGAAUUAGAACUUUGCAAAUGCAAUUCAUAAGUAUUGACAAUUUUAUCUUUUUCAAUCAAGCAUAAAAUAUGAUCCAUUGCCUAAAAACCACUUGUGACAAUGCCAGACCAUGUACAACCAAAUAAUAAUAACAAUAAUAACACUAAUCAUAAAAUAGUAACAACGAUUAUCAUUAUUAUUAUACUUGUAGAAAACCAUUAUUAUAAUGAAUUUCAUAACUCGUAUUCCAACCUAUUAAAUUCAACUUCAUGGAUGUGUGUGUCUCUGAUGGGAAGUUUGACAAAAUGCUGUGAACUUGGUCACCCUGCUACUGGCACUUUCAUCCCACAUUCAUCACCCACACCUAAUACUCAUCCACAUUCAUCCACCCCCCUCCCAGAGCAACCUCUAAAUGCACACACACCAAUCAACUGCUUUUUUCUAUAGUGUGAGAAAACGAAGUUUUUGCAUGUGCAUUUCAUUUAAUAUCUAUUUUUAUUAUUAUAACAAGAGAGUGAUGCCAGCAUGGCAAGCAAGUGUGUGUGAGUGUGAGCGUGUGUAGAGGGCAGACCAAGGCAAUGAUGAUGAUGAUGGGCUCCUAGUUCCAUUUCAAGCCAGGUCAAGGGACACUUUAAAAAGUCAGUCAGUCAGUCUGUGAGAUUAUAUAUAUAUAUAGUAUGCCCUUGUAUUUAGUAUGUGUGUAUUCAUUCUCUCAUUCUCAACAUAUUUAUAGAUAGAUAGAUAUAGACAUGAUAGAGAGCAAGAUGGGUGUGGGUGUCCUGGUGGAAGUGGGUGUGCUCCAAAUAUGGGGCUGUUCCAGUUAUUCCAGUUGGGAUCCUCAUUCCAACCUGGCACUGUGCCCCUGUCUGUCUCUCAUUCACUUCCUCUUUCAUUCUCAUUCUUUCUCUUUCUCUGCCCCAUUUAUUAUUGUCUAUCCCCCCCCACUCUCUUGCUCUCUCUCUCUCUCUCUCUCUGUCUGCCUGUCUGGCAUGGUAGUGGUGGUGGUGAUGGGGGUGCCUCUCUGCCCUUUUGUUGACAAGGUGUCAGAUCUGGGGUCACCCUCCUGCAUCACACACAACUUGCUUGCCACAUGGUUGCAUGAUAAAAAUAACGCUCUCUCUCAUUUAAUUAAUUAAAUAAACCGUUUCAUACUUCCAUUUCUUUCCAGUACUUGUGUGUUUUGUGCCUAAUCAAGGAGUGUUGAUCCAUUAUAUUAAUAUUGACAGUGUGGGGUGUGAAUAUCUAUCUGUAUAUAUUUAGAUGUAGAUAUGUUUAUUGUGCAUGUGUUUUGGAUAAGUGCUUAAGUUAUGGCAGGAGAGUUGCUCACAUGGUUGAGUUGGAAGAGCUGCUCACUUUUUUUUAAUAUUCUUAUUUUGCUUUG